AUUUGGUCUUCAGCUGGCUAAAGAGAGAGCUUCUCCACCCCCAAGGAUACCUAAAAGAAACUGGAACAAAGGACAGUAACUAGGGGGUGGGAGUGAUUGCUGGACAUAGACUAGAAGGAGACUAGUCUGUUAAAGGAAUCUUACUGGAAUUUCUCUAAGCGAGGAAGCUGCGUAG